AGCAGGGAUACUGCACUGAGAAGAAAGAAAAUUCAUCUCUAUCAACGUUUUCUACCUGUAAUGGACUCCUUCCUUCUCCAGGGUUUGUUUCAAGUUAUGUCCCAUGCACAUGACCAAGAGAGCUUGAGCUGAGGCAGCCUGAGAGCAGCGCUUGGGUGAAAGAGAGAGUGGUGCACAAGAGAGGAAGGAGAGCUACAGGCACAACGAAUGCAGAUGCUGCUCAGCUGCAAGGCACCAUGUGAAAGCUUUUAUUUCUUCCAAGAUGAAUCCCUGUCAUCAGCUCAUGUGAAUGUUUUGGUGAUCCAAAGGAUGGAUUGUUCUGUUUUGCUUGCUUGGAUUGUGAAAUAGGAAUAUCUGUAACAUGACAGGACAUGAAAGAGCCUGCAAUGA